rnacentral:rRNA from 1 species
GUAGGUGGCAAGCGUUGUCCGGAAUUAUUGGGCGUAAAGCGCGCGCAGGCGGUUCUUUAAGUCUGAUGUGAAAGCCCACGGCUCAACCGUGGAGGGUCAUUGGAAACUGGAGAACUUGAGUACAGAAGAGGAAAGCGGAAUUCCACGUGUAGCGGUGAAAUGCGUAGAGAUGUGGAGGAACACCAGUGGCGAAGGCGGCUUUCUGGUCUGUAACUGACGCUGAGGCGCGAAAGCGUGGGGAGCAAACAGGGAUUAGAUACCCUGGUAGUCCACGCCGUAAACGAUGAGUGCUAAGUGUUAGGGGGUUUCCGCCCCCUUAGUGCUGCAGCUAACGCAUUAAGCACUCCGCCUGGGGAGUACGGCCGGCAAGGCUG